UACCAUGUGCAAUAUCACGAAGUUGUGCAACUUCCUAAAACUUCACUUGCUCUAAAUUAAGCUUAGCAGCUUGAGAGAGACUGCACAUUUUUAUUGCUGUCUUUCUCCCCUUCAAACUUAAUACAGAAACAUGGAUACAAAAAUCAUCUCCCUCCGGGAGUACGGAGUCAUAUACUCCCACUUGCCGGAAAGCUAUGUCAGACCAGAAUUCGACCGGCCUCGCUUGUCCAAAGACUCCGAAUGCAAAAACAUUCCCGUUGUUGAACUGGCUUCUCCCAACAGAGCUCAAACUGUGCAGCAAAUUGGUGAUGCCUGCAAAAAUAAGGGUUUUUUUUUAAGGUUAUUAACCAUGGGGUGUCAACGGAAGGAGUGUAAAAAAAAUGAUAGGGGUGGCCAAUGAGUUUUUCAACCUUCCUGUGGAGGAAAAGCUGAAGCUGUGUACUCAGAUGACCCCUAAAAAACUAUGAGACUUUCUACAAGUUUUAAUGUGUAGAAAGAGAAGGCUCAUAACUGGAGAGUUUACCUCCGCCUUAUGAACCUUCUCUUUCUUUACAUUAAAAAAACCCAUAAUUUUUGCAGGCAUCACCAAUUUGCUGCACAGUUUGGGCUCUGUUGGGAGAAGCCAGGUCAAUAACGGGAAUGUUCUCGUACUCGGAGACUUUGGACAAGCGAUGCCGGUAGGAUUCUGGUCUGACAUAGCUUUCCGGCAAGUGGGAGUAUGUGACUCCGGAGGGAGAGGACUUUUGUAUCCAUGUUUCUGUAUUAAGUUUGAAGGGGGAGACAAAGACGGCACCAAAAAUUGUGCAGUCUCUCUCAGCUGCUAAGCUUAAUUCCGAGCAAGUAAAGUUUUAGGAAGUUGCACAACUUAGUGAUAUUGCACAUGGUAUUUAUACAGGAGUCGAUGCCCUUAAAGUCAUAGAUUCACCAUUGUCUUGUAGGCUUCCGUCUUGCAGCCAAUCUUUAUGUGAUGCCUGAUGUAGGAUAAUUGGACAGCAAAGUUGCUUAUAUGUAAAAACUACCGACAAUCAAAUUAUUAAUUAUGUCUUAUUUUCUA